rnacentral:rRNA from 1 species
GCUUACGGCCAUACCACCCUGAAUGCGCCCGAUCUCGGAAGCUAAGCAGGGUCAGGCCUGGUUAGUACUUGGAUGGUAGACCGCCUGGGAAUACCAGGUGCUGUAAGCU